GGGCCGGUAGCUCAGCUGGUAGAGCACUUCCAUGGCAUGGAAGGGGUCCGGGGUUCAAAUCCCCGUCGGUCCACCA
rnacentral:tRNA from 1 species